CAGCAGCCGCGGUAAUACGUAGGGUGCAAGCGUUGUCCGGAAUUAUUGGGCGUAAAGAGCUCGUAGGCGGUUUGUCGCGUCUGCUGUGAAAACCCGAGGCUCAACCUCGGGCCCGCAGUGGGUACGGGCAGACUAGAGUGCGGUAGGGGAGAUUGGAAUUCCUGGUGUAGCGGUGGAAUGCGCAGAUAUCAGGAGGAACACCGAUGGCGAAGGCAGAUCUCUGGGCCGUAACUGACGCUGAGGAGCGAAAGCAUGGGGAGCGAACAGGAUUAGAUACCCCCGUAGUCCCUGUCUCUUAUAA
rnacentral:rRNA from 1 species